rnacentral:rRNA from 1 species
UACGUAGGGUGCAAGCGUUGUCCGGAAUUAUUGGGCGUAAAGAGCUUGUAGGCGGUUUGUCGCGUCUGCUGUGAAAUUUCGGGGCUCAACCCCGAACUUGCAGUGGGUACGGGCAGACUAGAGUGUGGUAGGGGAGACUGGAAUUCCUGGUGUAGCGGUGAAAUGCGUAGAUAUUGGGAGGAACACCGGUGGCGAAGGCGGAUCUCUGGGCCUUACCUGACGCUGAGGCGCGAAAGCUAGGGGAGCGAACAGG